UGGAUCACAGUUCGGUGUGCGGCUGGCUCUGCUCACAUCCUCGUCCUUGGCAUUACAGCGUUUCUUCACAAAUGACUCUUGACCGACAAGCAAACACCACCAGGCAUCUGGAUGAGCGGCGUGUCCUGCUGCUGAUUAUUUUGAAAUAGCAGCGAUGUUUUGAAACAGGCAUGUCUCCGUUGGCAGAUAAGAAAGACGAAGUGAAGUGAGGCACCAGCACACCACAGUGCUCCGUCAAGCUCUUGUCUAUUAAACAAACGACAUAUCCCAAAUUCUACUGAUACAUGAAUCAAGAGAAGCUUCUCAAGUUAUAGAUCUCAGAGUAAAUAUAUAUACCAUCCUAUCCCAAUCCAUCUUGCUCUAAAUACUGCUUUUUCUGAGGCUGUCAAAAGCACAAGCUGCCAUGGUAAUGACAGGAAGAUAUGGGUGAAAUGCCAGCCCUAAUUAGAGACUUGAUUGCUCUGUAAUAACAAGGCCUGUAUUUGAUUUGGACGGUUCUGGGUUGUCAGGUAAAAUGAAUUAAAUAUGUCUGCACUUUCAUUUCAAAAUGUGAAA
rnacentral:lncRNA from 1 species